GGAGGAAUAUUGGUCAAUGGGCCGAGAGGCUGAACCAGCCAAGUCGCGUGAAGGAUGAAGGAUCUAUGGUUUGUAAACUUCUUUUAUACGGGAAUAAAGUGAGCCACGAGUGGCUUUUUGUAUGUACCGUAUGAAUAAGCAUCGGCUAACUCCGUGCCAGCAGCCGCGGUAAUACGGAGGAUGCGAGCGUUAUCCGGAUUUAUUGGGUUUAAAGGGUGCGUAGGUGGUUUCUUAAGUCAGCGGUGAAAGUUUGUGGCUUAACCAUAAAAUUGCCAUUGAUACUGGGAGACUUGAGUAUGUUUGAGGUAGGCGGAAUGCGUGGUGUAGCGGUGAAAUGCAUAGAUAUCACGCAGAACUCCGAUUGCGAAGGCAGCUUGCCAAGCCAUAACUGACAC
rnacentral:rRNA from 1 species